CAGAACUUGGCGGUGUUUGUGAACAUGGCACCAACUUUUUCGUACCGGUACCGGGAAAGCAGAUUAACGCUUAGUCAGUUCAAGACAGGAAGUGUCUUUGUAUAAAGAAAUAACUUAAUAAUGGAUUCCUGUUGUUAAUACCCUAUGAUUACCAAGAAAGCGUUGAAAGAUCUAUACCAAGCUGUCAUCUCAUCCAUCUUACAAAUCUCUUCACUCACAGUAUGAGCUUUGAAAAUCCCUCAAGAGUUCUUGUACUUCUAGUUGUGUGACAGAAAUACAAGGAAGCAAGAAAGAAAAUUAUGGAUCCUUUGAAUGUUAAAAGCGGAAUUUGCGAAGUACUCCUCUUACAAAUGGUGAUCGAAGUAAAUUACAAGACAGUAAAAUGAUAUUCUCUGAGGUUUUGCAUUUCUAAGAAAGUGUAAUACAAUCCUUAUUCCUAUCAACUAAAGUGAAAUA